GAUGAACGCUGGCGGCGUGCCUAAUACAUGCAAGUCGAGCGAACAGACGAGGAGCUUGCUCCUCUGACGUUAGCGGCGGACGGGUGAGUAACACGUGGAUAACCUACCUAUAAGACUGGGAUAACUUCGGGAAACCGGAGCUAAUACCGGAUAAUAUAUUGAACCGCAUGGUUCAAUAGUGAAAGACGGUUUUGCUGUCACUUAUAGAUGGAUCCGCGCCGCAUUAGCUAGUUGGUACGGUAACGGCUUACCAAGGCGACGAUGCGUAGCCGACCUGAGAGGGUGAUCGGCCACACUGGAACUGAGACACGGUCCAGACUCCUACGGGAGGCAGCAGUAGGGAAUCUUCCGCAAUGGGCGAAAGCCUGACGGAGCAACGCCGCGUGAGUGAUGAAGGUCUUCGGAUCGUAAAACUCUGUUAUUAGGGAAGAACAAAUGUGUAAGUAACUAUGCACGUCUUGACGGUACCGAAUCAGAAAGCCACGGCUAACUACGUG
rnacentral:rRNA from 1 species